ACAGAGAACCACAACAUACAAAAAAAGAACCCUAUAGAACUCUGAUUUUUUUCUUGUUGU
rnacentral:sRNA from 1 species